AUGCCCAAACACCAUGUUUACGUAGGCCCUACAAAAACUGCUGAGGACUCCUGCCUCACCUUUCAGGGUCCAGAGGAUGUUGGCGUGCCCCUUGUCAGUCAUGUCUGCAGUGGGGAGAAAGGCAGUGAGCAGCAGCUCCUUGUGACCAUUGCUCUGUGCUGUCCCCUCCAGUUGUGCCCCCAGGGCAGGGCAGAGGGGACGAGGAUGUCCCUGGGUCACACAUCACCAUAUUCCCCAUCUGCUCACCCCAGCCACCCAAACUCACCCAAAAAAGUGGUCUUCAAUUUGGCAGCCACCGACUCUGUGUCCACCUCGUCCCCACCAUCAGCGCCGCAGACGAAGCUCUUGGAGCUGUUGUCCUGCUGCAGAGCGGUGGCAGGAGCUCUGUCACACGGUGCCACAUCCUCGCUGAAGCCACCUCUGCCCGUCAGAACAUCUGUGAUGGCAUCCGCCUUCAAAGAGCCGCUCUUGGAGGUGCUUGGCUCCAUCACUGGGGACACGGGGCGCGGGGUGACAGGGUGCUCCGGGUGCAGCAGGGGCCACCAAGCUGAGCUGGGACCAGGCUUGGGCAGAGCCCUGUUGAUGCGGGCAUUCCAAGAUGAGGGGAUAGCAGGGCUGUGCUGGGGACAACAGGCACAGGUGGCUGCAAGGGACCUGGGAGCGGGGUGCGGGUACACAGGCACGGUGCCGGUCUGGGUGCCUGUGUCCCUGGUGGGAGGUGACGGCCGGGAAGGUGCCGGGUGCCGGAGUGCCGCCUCUGUCUCAGCCCCUCGGUGCAGCUGCUUGGCCAUGCGGUGCAGCACACACAGGCACUCAUUCUGCUCCUUGCCGGGCUGGGCUGGAGGGGGCUGCAGGGACAAGGAGCCUGGCUCCAUGGGGUCCUGGUUCCAUUGGGAAAUGGAUUUGUCCCCAAGGAGCCGCAGGGCUCUGCGGGGCGCUUUGGGGUUGGUGAUGGGGCUGCGAGGUGGUGGCGGGCUGGGGGUGCAGAUGAUGGGGCAGGUGGCACAGGGGGCUCGGAGCAGCUGGGUCCCAGCAUCAACCCGGUGGGACAAAGCCACCUUGCAGGGCUCCGUCUGCGUCAUCUGCUCCUUAAGGAUGGCUGUGGCCUCCUGGGUGCCGUGCAGGGGGCAACCUCUGCUUGGUGACUCUGCCCUGGACAGGCCACUUAGUGUGAAGGUGACCGAGGGGCCACCGCUCUGCCCCUGCCCUGCUCCGGGCUGCAGGCGACUGCCCACUGUCAGCUGCCGGUCACCCAGGGGAUGGUGCAGGGCCACCAGCAAGCGGCCUGAUGGCACCGGCUGCCCCUGGCCCAGCCUGUCCUGCAGCCCGUGGGGCAGCUCAGGGACACGGGAUGACAUGGGGACCUUGCUGCCGGGCUGGGGGAUGGUGGCUGAGGGCCUCUGUAGUGUCACACUGUCCGGUGGCAGCAGUGGGUUCGGGGCCAUGGGGCUGUGUGGGGGUUGCUGCGGGUUGGCUGAAAACUGUUCCUAA
rnacentral:lncRNA from 1 species